CCAGUCUGUAUUCCAUGCCUGAGUUGCAUCCUUUUUGACUUUCACCUCUUAGAAUUUUUAACAUCUAUCAAGGCUCAGCUCCUCCGCCAUCACUUAUGGAAAACCAUUUCUGAUCCCUUUAGUUAAGAUUGGCAAUGUAUCAAUGAAGUUUUGUCCAAACCAACUACCAUCUCACGAAGACCACCUACUAAAAGCUAUCAAGAUUAACAUCUAUAUUGGUGAUGAGAUUAUAUAUUUUUGAAGUAUCUGAAGUUUUCAGAAUAUCUCUAGGAAACAUAGCGGAUAGAGCUUUGAACCUGGAGCGAGGAAGAGCUGAGUUUG